rnacentral:lncRNA from 1 species
AGGUAAAUAGUUAAACUUUUUUGUCAUUCAAUCUUGUGAUCUAAUUGGUUUUCUCAUUAAUACGGAGGGUGGGAAGUAUCGAGUUUGAGUUCUCUUCAAUCCCAUAACGGCGAAUACGGUAACAUUAAUGAAUUGAUGCAGGGAAUUUCUCUUGGAAUGUGCUGAAAAAUUUGGAGUAGAGGGGGCUGCAGAAUUCCUUCAAGAUCCAAAUCAUGGUGUGAAGGAGGUAUAUGAGGACCUCCACAAGUACUCAGCAGGCCUCACAGGAGUCCCAAACUAUGUGGUAUGCAAUAAAAUACCCAUUAUUUAUAUUUUUAUUGUUUAAUCAUUAUAAUAAUCCAUAUUAAUUUUUUCUUUUUCUUCCUCUGAAUAGAUCAAUGGAAAGAAGAAGUUGAAUGGAGCCCAGCCUCCAGAGGUUUUCCUCAGAGCUUUUGAAGCUGCAGCAAAUUAAUAGUUUACAUUAUAUAAGCUGGAAGAGGCAACAAUAAAUCAAGAGUUCAACUUUCCCUCAUGCAUUUGUGUAAUGUUUUAUUAUUUUUAAUUAUUUUUCUUGUGUAAUAUUGGAACAUAACUGUCAUAUGCAUUUUUCCUGCAGUGGAUAUGUUCAAAUUGGAAUGGUUUGAGGAUUUGUGUGGAAAUUUAAAAAUAUAUUUCUUCUUUCAAUAUAACUUUCUGAUCUUCACUAUUUAUCUUCACUACCUAACACCCCGUUUAUGGGCUUUAUCUCGUACACCAAACUAAUAAAAUAAACUUUUAACAAGAAUAUUUUUUUACAAUCACUAAGAAAAAAAAUAAUAAAACAAAAAUAAUAAUUAAAAAAAUCUUUAAUUGGCGUGUUCUAUGAAAUCACUUAUAUUAUACACCUAUCGACAAAUCUUAUCAUAUCGACAUAUCAAUAUUAUCUAUUAGUUACAAAUUUUAAUUGUCAUUUACGCUCUAUUUUGUAUAAAUGAAGUCAAAAUGUUAAAUUCAUUGUAUAUGAUUUUUUCAUGUUUAGAAUAAAUUAAAAAAUGAAAAUUUAUUUAUUUUUAUUUCUAAAAUACUCUAGCCAUAAUAAUGUUAGAAGGCUAGGAGGAUGAAAAGUUUUGGUUAUAAAAUAUUAGGUUGAUUAAUUUUAUGGAAUUCAUUUAGAAAUUUUACAUUUUUCUUGUAAAAUUUUAUAAAUUUUAAUUUAGUUAUAUUCAAAUACAUAGAAUUGAAUUCGUAUAAUUAAUUCUUCAUUCUUUUUCAUACCAAACACAAAAAUUUAAAUUUAUAAUUAAAUUCUAACAAGUUUUUUAGAAUUCAUUUAUUCCAAACAAGACUUAUAAGUCCAAUUAUAUACAAAUCAACCGCAAAUAUAUUCAAAUCCAAUUAAUACAAACUUAGACUACAAUCAAAUACGGAUAUGUAGGAACUAUUAGAAAAAUCUUUGAAUUAAUAAUAUAUAUUUGAUCUACUACUUUGUAGCAUAAACAGAAAUAUAAUAUCUUAAUUUUGAGAAGAUAUUAUCUCUAAUAAAACUUCAAAAUAAUCGUUGUCUUCAAACUAAAUUAUGGGCUUAUUUUAAAUCAUUAAAAAAAAUUUAAAACUUUACAGGUAAUUUUAAUUAUACGUUAAAUUCAAUUUUCUUCUCUUACUAUUCUGAACUUCAAUUUUAAUUAUAAUAGCACCCUAAUUUUAAAUUGUAUCUAAUUUAAUGAGUAAAAUAAACAUGAAUUUUUAAUUAUGGUUUAUUGAAAUUAUAAUUAAGCUAGAUCUCUUAUACAAAUAAGUUUUAUUCAUUACAGCAUAAUUUUAUUUUUAGGGAAUCAUUACUUGUUAAUAUUAUACAAAUAAAACAAAAAAAAAAAGUAGUUUUUAGGUGAAUAUAUUAUUUUUUAUUUUAAUAUUGGGUACAAAAUAAUAUUUCUUUGAAGGCAAUUGAAAAUAAUAUUUAUUCACUAAAUUGGAUAUAAUUUGAAAUUAUGGUGCUAUUGUAACUAAAAUUGAAAUUUAGAAUACUAGAAGUAGAAAAUUAGAUUUAAAGUAAUUAAAAUUACCUAUAAAAUUUGAAGUUUUUUUAAUGAUUUAGCCCUUAAAAUACUUGGACUUUGAUUUUGUAACAUUAAAAGUGAAUUUGACCACAAUCCGGUGAUGAAAGACACCGGAAAACUGAUGUGGCAAGCAUCAUUUAAAAAAAUAAUUUUUUAUUUCACGUCAUCCUGCUCAAAGUUUUUUGUGUUCAUUUUUUCUAUUUUGUAAGACCUCCAUCUCUCUUCUUCCAAUCGAGGCUUUUCGAUCUUCAUCUCCGUAUAUAAACCCAUAGAUCAAUAAUCAAUUCAUCAAACAACCCAAAAUCAAAACAAACCUCUUUUCAAUUUCCUUCUAUUUAUGAAUUUAAACGACACAAACCCAAGUUUUACAAUUCUCAAUAUGCUAUCAAAAUUAAAAUUAAAAUCAUAUCCAGUAAAUAUUCUUUGCAAAAACACCUUAGAAUUCAAACAAAACGUAGAAAUAAUAAUAUUCAGGUUUCUAAAUUACAUACCUGAAAUUCUCUUUCUCUCUGUACUAGCUCAGAUCCUUAACAUUUAUUUUUUAAUCGAAAUUCCUGCUUGACCACUGUGAAGGGGAUGAGAGAAAAAAAAAAAAAAAACACCUUUUUAAUUGAAUAAAAUGAUCUCUUGUUCAAACCGAAACUUUAUAACAUCGGCAAAUGGUACUUUUUUUUGUACAGCUAACUUAAGCAAACUGGAAUUUUCUCUCACAAAAAAGAAGUCUUUUAUAGGUGAAAAGCAAUUCAUGGAUGGUUAUUAAGGCUUGUGGAGAGUGCAAAUGGCUUGUUGUUUGUUGGUUAUUUAUAAAAUAAGAAAAUAAGGGAGAGAGCAAAGAUCGAAAGAAGAAAAGAAAAAUAGCCAUUGAAGAGAAAAAUGAGAUAUGGAAGAUCAUUUAGAAGAAAGAGAAAAUGGGCACAAGUUCCAUCUCCCGAGACUUUGACGCCGAAUAAAAAUUUAUCUUUUUUAGAUCAUUCUUCCUCUAUCAAUUUUUCGGUGUCUUUUAUUACCAGAUUAUGAAAAUGAUAUUUUUAAUAUUAUAAAAUCAAAGUCCGAAAAAAUUUUAAGCGACAAAUUAAAAAUUUGAAACUAUAAAAUGAUAUCUCUCUAACUUGACAAAUCAUGGGUAAAAAUAAACCUUAAAUUAUGAGAUUUUGUUAGAGAUAAUUUCACUUAAAAAUCAACAUUUUGUUGUAACUAUAGUAACAUGCAAUAUAAUAUUAAGAUAAACAUUAAAAAUAAUAAUAAAAAGAUCGUAAAUAUAUUGGCCUACUUCUAGAAAGAAUAGAGAAAAAAAAUAAAUAAAAUUUCUUAAGUUAAAUUUGUCAGAAUUUAAGGCAGGCGAAGACAUUAUUGAAAUAGUCAAAAAAACAAUGAAAAUGAACCUUCCAAAUCCAAUUCUUGCAAUUCCCCAUUGGCUAUGCGUUUGGUAGCUCUUCAAAAAGUCUUUCUCAGCUUCAGUAUUCUUCUAGGUAAACAAAACCCGGUCUAGGUCCAUCCAUGUGCUAGACCAAUGGAAAAUAUUAAAAAAAAAAAAAAAAGAAAUGAAGCGCUAUAAUUGGUUUGGCUCGUGAGUGGCUAAAGCGUAAGGAUUAAACUUACCUAAUCUAUAGAUUAGGUCCAUAUAUCAAACUAAUAAAGGAGAUUUUUUAAAUAUUCUUCUCAUCUUUUUUUUUUUUUCUUUCGGGUGAAUAGUCAAAAAUAGAUUCAUUUGUCUCGUCUGGAUCCAUGAUCCUAUAUAUAGAUCAAAUCAAUAAAAAUAAAAAUUUUUAUCGAAAUCAUGAUAUUUUUACUAUAAGCUGAGAAGAAAAGGAUAAUAUAAAAACAAUUUUAAAAAUUUUUUGUUUUUAUAAGUUUAAUUCAUAGAUAGAGUUAUAGAUCCAAUCAAAACAAAUAUAGUCCCGUCAAAGAUACUUAUUCUUUAAACAAUUAACUAUUAUUUAUUGAUUUAGUUCAUUAGCAGACCAAUAGACGGGAUUUAGCCAAAUCAAUCCAAAGCUUAGCCGUCUCAUUUGCAUUCUCACUGAAAUAAAAUAUAGUCAAACACAUACAGCCAGAUCAACCCUUUUGCUUGCUAUAAAGCAAAUCCAAUAUUUCCCUUCAAUCUUUCACAGGCAAUGCGUUUGGCGACUCUCAACAAAUUCCCACCUUCUAUAUUCUUUCAGGUACACAAAACCUUCUAACGGUCUUCUCAAUUCUUUCUUUGCUUUCAGUUUCUUGAUCUCUUUUAACACAAUUCUUGAUUGGAGUUUCCAUUUCAGAAAGCUAGCAGAUACCCAAGAAUCAUGAGCCAGUCAGCCAGCAACAGCAGCGGGAAGAAGCAGAUUAGAAUUGAUAUCAGCUCAGACACUAUAUGCAUGUGGUGCUUUGUUGGCAAACGAAAUUUAGACAAAGCUAUAUCUACUGCUAAAGAUAGAUAUAACUUCGAGGUCUCACAAUUCUAUCUUUUUCUCAUUAUGUUAUGUUAUAAUAUAUUUUUCAUUUCUAACUUAGAACAGUUCUAAUUUGCAGAUUAGAUGGCAUCCUUUUUUUCUUGAUCCAUCUGCCCCUAAAGAAGGCACAAAGAUUAUGACUCUUUUCGGUCAAAGAUUUGGGUCUCGAACUGAUGCAGUUCUAAAUCAACUCAGAGAGGUUAAUUUCCUUCUUAAUUUGUUAAUUAUCUAUACAAUAAUGACCUUGGAAUUUGACUUUUAUUUAAUUAAGCUAUUAUGAUAAUUACAUUCAGACUCUUAGAGAUGUUGGUCUGGAAUUCAACAUAUGUGAUCUCAUGUAAGUUUUUUUUUUUUUUUGUAAUUAAGCUUUUUAAUAAUGUUAGUAUAUAUUGCUUCCGGCGUCAAAUAAAUUAAUCUCUUGUUUAAUCGUUAAAAAAAAUAUUAUUCGUAUAUAGUCCGCUGCUUUAUAAGAAAAUAUGCUAAAGGGGUUUAUUUGAUGAAUUAACUUGGUCUUGGUCAUGCACAGUGGCAAUACCUUAGACAGCCACAGGCUUAUACAUUUUGCUGGCCAGCAAGGUCUUGACAAGCAACAUAAUCUUGCAGAGGAAUUGUUCCUUGGUUACUUCACGAAGGCUAAAUACAUUGGCGACAGGUAAAUAGUUAAACUUUUUUGUCAUUCAGACUUGUGAUUUAAUUGGUUUUCUCAUUAAUAUGGAGGGUGGGAAGUAUCAAGCUUGAGUUUUCUUGAAUCCCAUCACGGCGAAUUCGGUAACAUUGAUGAAUUGAUGCAGGGAAUUUCUCUUGGAAUGUGCUGAAAAAGUUGGAGUAGAGGGGGCUGCAGAAUUCCUUCAAGAUCCCAAUAAUGGUGUGAAGGAGGUAUAUGAGGACCUCCACAAGUAUUCAGCAGGCCUCACAGGAGUCCCAAA